AACGCGAAGAACCUUACCUGGGUUUGACAUGCACAGGACGACUGCAGAGAUGUGGUUUCCCUUGUGGCCUGUGUGCAGGUGGUGCAUGGCUGUCGUCAGCUCGUGUCGUGAGAUGUUGGGUUAAGUCCCGCAACGAGCGCAACCCUUGUCUCAUGUUGCCAGCGCGUUAUGGCGGGGACUCGUGAGAGACUGCCGGGGUCAACUCGGAGGAAGGUGGGGAUGACGUCAAGUCAUCAUGCCCCUUAUGUCCAGGGCUUCACACAUGCUACAAUGGCCGGUACAAAGGGCUGCGAUGCCGUGAGGUUUAGCGAAUCCUUUAAAGCCGGUCUCAGUUCGGAUCGGGGUCUGCAACUCGACCCCGUGAAGUCGGAGUCGCUAGUAAUCGCAGAUCAGCAAUGCUGCGGUGAAUACGUUCCCGGGUCUUGUACACACCG
rnacentral:rRNA from 1 species